GGUGUGUGCUUGCAUAAUCCAAAAUCUUGGAUUGGGUCACCAGGAAGUCUAAAAUAAAAUUUGUUGUGUAACUUUGACAAAUAUAUACACAAUAUCCUAACGGCCUAAUGUUUAACAGAUUUCCAGAAAGAGACUAAAAAGAAAUAUAGAGGAUAAGGAAACAGCAGCAGUUUCUAAACGUAGAACUCUAAAGAGGGUGCUUAAGACAGGUAGGAUAAAACCAACUAAGGAAGCAAGAUAAUAAUUUCAAUGCCUGGAACUGACUUCUGAAAGGUUACUUGCUAAGUGACAGUGUCUUUCUUUCAAAAGAGGUUUAAUUGGCAGAAGCGGGCAUUGUUCAAUC